GUCUUUUCAAAAGUCAAAUUAGAUGUUAUCUGGUUACCUGGGCAAAUGAGUCCGAGGUCGUCAAAAACAAUGGCAUGCAUCAAAGCAGAAGGAUUUGUAAGAACUUCCUGCAUGAAUGCUGCCACAGUCAAAGGACCAGUCACCUUCAAUAAAUUGCUACAAACAGCUUGUGAUCUACUAAAAACUUUGGAAAAUGAUGAAGAACAUUUCCACAUCACUUCGACCGCCAUGUUGGACGAGCAGCAUUAUGGAAGCCUGAGAACUAGAAACCACAGGUAACCC